UACGGGGGGAGCAAGCGUUGUUCGGAUUUACUGGGCGUAAAGGGCGCGUAGGCGGCGCAACAAGUCACUUGUGAAAUCUCCGGGCUUAACCCGGAGCGGCCAAGUGAUACUGUCGUGCUAGAGUGCGGAAGGGGCUACUGGAAUUCUCGGUGUAGCGGUGAAAUGCGUAGAUAUUGGGAGGAACACCAGUGGCGAAGGCGGCUCACUGGACCGGUACUGACGCUGAUGCGCGAAAGCGUGGGGAGCAAACAGG
rnacentral:rRNA from 1 species